GAAGUGAGGACUUCCGGCGCGUCGCGCCGUGUGUUCCGCACCGGAAGCGCGCUUCCAGCGGCCCUGGCAACAGUCGCCCCCCUCCCGUCCCCCACUCCUCCUGUGUCUCCAAGAAAAAUUUGGCCUCUGCUCGGCCACCACCCAGGAUCUGCAAGCUGCGCGCCCACGAGCCCCACCAGCCCAUUAGGAGAAAAGUUACUGUUCAGUCCGUGAAGGCUUGUGCCAUGAAAGAGUGGGAGACAUUCUCAGGGAGUUUCGGCACCCAUUUGGAUUUUCACAAUCAGAGAUGGCAGCGAAGAAGGCAUCAACGUUGAAAGCUACCAGGCCUUGGUAUUGUCAUCCGGUAUAUGCAAGAUAUUGGCAACAUUAUCAUCAAGCAAUGGCUUGGAUGCACAGCCACCAGAAUGCCUACAGGAAGGCCAUGGAAUCUUAUUUCAGUGUUCCAUGGUACUUCCCUCCUGUACUUCUUCCCCAAAGCUCUUACGAUAUCCAAGCUGCAUAUCCUCAGGCUUUCUAUGACAAUCAUGUGUCCUGGCAGGACUCCCCCUGUAAUUCUUCACAUUUCAGAGGGUCUGGGCAGAAUCCACAUGACAGCAAUAGGAUCCAGGCAUCCACAAGAGAAGACCAAGACCAAGCUUUGUCCAAAGAGGAAGAGACGGAGACCGAGUCAGAUGCAGAAAUAGAAUGUGACCUGAGCAACAUGGAAAUCACCGAAGAGCUCCGCCAAUACUUUGCAGAGACCGAGAGGCACAGAGAAGAACGACGGAGGCAGCAGCAGCUGGAUGCCAAGCGCCUAGAGAGCUAUGUGAACGCUGACCACGACCUGUACUGCAACAUCCCCCGGUCGGUAGAGGCCCCAACUGAGAGGCCAGGUGAGGAGACUGAAGCGCAGAGAAAUUAACCAACAAAACCAAGUUCAUUUCAAGUGAUGGAUAUUCUGACUCCCAACUUUACUGCCAUUAGCUGCUCCAGCAUGCUGAAAUCUGGCUCUAACAACCACAUUCACAGGAAGUGGAAGAACUGAGGCUAAGGCAAUGAGAAGAAGGAACUUAUUCCAGAGACGCUGAAGAAAUAGACAUCCCAUGGUUUGGUGACUUGGGCCAGGUGAUGAACCAGCCUAGGAUGGCUCAGAUGUCUGUCUGGGAUGGAAGUCAUAGUCACUGAGGUGUGGUGGCAUAUACUUCGAGUCCUAGCUACUUGGGGGACUGAGGUGGGACAAUCACCUGAAUUUGGGAGGUCAAGCUGCAGAGAGCCGUGAUUGCACCAUUGCACUCCAGCCAAAGUGACAGCGCAAGACUCCAUCUGGAAAAAAAAGGAAUCUCUGCUCUGUGGAAAGAAAAGUAAUAAGAAGACUACGAAUCUCUAUGAUCAGGGGAUGGUAGGAAAACCUGAAGAGUGAUGUGCAGAUUAAUAGUGAGUGUCAACUUGAUUGGAUUGAAGGAUAAAAAGUAUUGUUCAUGGGUAUGUCUGUGAGGGUGUUGCCAAGGGGAGAUUGACAUUUGUGUCAGUGGACCAGGAGAGGCAGACUUGCCCUCAAUUUGGGUGGGCACCGUCUAAUCAGCUGCCAGCACAGCUAGGAUAAAAGCAGGCAGAAGAACAGGAAAGAACUAGACUGGUUGAGUCUUCCAGCCUUCAUCUUUCUCCCAUACUGGAUGCUUCCUGCCCUCAAACAUCAGACUCCAAGUUCUUCAGCUUUCGGACUCUUGGACUUAAACCAGUGGUUUGCCAGGGGCUCUCAGGCCUUUGGCCACAGCCUGAAGGCCGCACUGUCAGCUUCCCUACUUUUGAGGUUUUGGGACUCAAACUGAUCCAUCACUGGCUUCCUCGUUCCUCAGCUUACAGACAGCCUGUUGUGGGAUGUCACCUUGUGAUUGUGUGAGUCAAUUCUCCUUAAUAAACUCCUUUUCAUAUACA